CAGCGCCUCUCUCUCCACACAGCGGUCAUAGUGCGCCGCCUGCUGGAAUGUGGGCGGAGCUGUGAGAGAUCCUUCUGUCCUCUCGUCGGCCGCUCACCAAUCCUGACCCAGUGACGUAGACUGCCUCUCCGGAAGAUUUCCCAGCAGCCUCUUGGGUUCCUCAGCAGGGCGGGCAGAACCUGAAGUGGGUCAGACCGCGUAAGACCAGGUUCUGGACCCGAGUGCAGUUCAGGGCAGCUCCCAGACCUGUGUUUCUGUGUUUCCUGCCCAGAGAGAGGGGCGUUUAAACCCGGUUGUCGGUUCCCUCACGUGGUCCCGGCUCCAGCACCCUGAUAGAGGCCCUCUGCGGGUAGAAGGCCUCAUAUACCCCUCAGGAACAUAGUAUAGUUGUGUUAUUUCGAUAGCACAUAUACUAAAAUUGGAACGAUACAGAGAAGAUUAGCAUGGCCCCUGCGCAA